rnacentral:tRNA from 1 species
GCCCCGCGUAGCUCAGCCGGAAGAGCGCCUGCCUUGUAAGCAGGAGGACGCGCGUUCGAAUCGACGCCCGGGGCACCA